rnacentral:lncRNA from 1 species
CGAGCUGUGUUUCUUGGCACUUGCUAGCGCAUAUGAGCUGCGAGACGAGGAGGCACUCUCGAGCUAGCCUUCUUCUCUUGCUGGCAAGAGAAGGCUACAAAUGUACUACAUGCAAGUGUGAGCUUGAGCCUGUGACAGACAGAGAGUGAGGUGAGUUGAGAGAUGUGAGGUAAGAAAUACUAGUGUCCUUGCAUGCACAGUUAGGCAAUCUUGUUAGGUAUGGGAAAGCUGAGCUGCUGGUCCUUCCUCCUUGGUCCUG